rnacentral:rRNA from 1 species
UAGGGAAUAUUGCGCAAUGGACGAAAGUCUGACGCAGCAACGCCGCGUGGAUGAUGAAGCAUUUCGGUGUGUAAAAUCCUGUCGGUGGGGAAGAAAAGUAUGAUGAGUAACUGCUUCAUACCUGACGGUACCCACAGAGGAAGUCCCGGCUAACUCCGUGCC